GAUGAACGCUAGCUACAGGCUUAACACAUGCAAGUCGAGGGGAAACGACAUCGAAAGCUUGCUUUUGAUGGGCGUCGACCGGCGCACGGGUGAGUAACGCGUAUCCAACCUGCCCAUCACUUGGGAAUAACCUUGCGAAAGUAAGACUAAUACCCAAUGACAUCCCACGAAGACAUCUGAAUGGGAUUAAAGAUUUAUCGGUGAUGGAUGGGGAUGCGUCUGAUUAGCUUGUUGGCGGGGUAACGGCCCACCAAGGCAACGAUCAGUAGGGGUUCUGAGAGGAAGGCCCCCCACAUUGGAACUGAGACACGGUCCACACUCCUACGGGAGGCAGCAGUGAGGAAUAUUGGUCAAUGGGCGAGAGCCUGAACCAGCCAAGUAGCGUGCAGGAUGACGGCCCUAUGGGUUGUAAACUGCUUUUAUAAGGGAAUAAAGUGGGUCUCGUGAGACUUUUUUCAUGUACCUUAUGAAUAAGGACCGGCUAAUUCCGUG
rnacentral:rRNA from 1 species